rnacentral:lncRNA from 1 species
AGACAAGACACCAUCCAAUUUCCUAUGGCAUCUCCCAAAGAGGGUGCGUUAUUAUAAGUAGUACUGUCACCACCACCACCACCACCACCACCACCAUCACCACCACCACCACCAUCAUCAUCAUCACCACCACCAUCAUCAUCAUCACCACCAUCAUCACCACCACCACCACAAUCACCACCACCACCACAAUCAUCAUCACCACCACCAUCAUUAUCACCACCACCACCAUCAUCAUUAUCAUCAUCAUCAACAUCACCACCACCACCAUCAUCAUCCUCUCACAUAUUCCAUCCCCAAACACAGUUCCCUCUCCCUCCUCUCACCCCAGUCUCCCCUCCACCUCUCCCUCCCCUCAGAAAAGAGCAGGCCUCCCAGGGACAUCAACCGAACACAGCUAAACAAGCUAAAGAAGACCGAGCAUAUACCAUCACAUCAAGGCUGGACAAAGCAUCCAGGUCAGCAGAGCACGACGCCUGUACACCAAUGUGAGCAACUGACGGAUUACUAACCUCACUUCUAUUAUGGUCUGAAGAAUGUAGCACAUGGAAUUCUGGGAGAUUUAUCUAAGAGCACUUUCUGCAUCCCAGUUUUAUCGGUAAAUUAUUCUCAGACCAUGAGGUUCCCAAACCUGACCUUCCUGAAAUUGAACCAGUAGUGGCCAAAGAGAGCAUUUCUUUAUGGUGUCCAUUAUCCUGGUGAAAUGGAAGAGUAUAUUCAGAGACACCCUGGGCUCAGAAGCUGUGCUCCACCAUCUGGACUUAAAACCCCCAGGGUUAGAAAACUACAGAAAUUGUACAAAUCAGACCAAGCGGCAGCCUCCGACAUCCCCAGUCUCCGUUUUAUUUAUCUUUCCUGGCCACCUUCAUUUUCCCCUCCAAAUGGAAAGCUAAAGUAAGACAUGUG